rnacentral:pre_miRNA from 1 species
GUAGUAUUCCCUCCGUCCCAAAAUUCUUGUCUUACAUUUGUUUAGAUAUGGAUGUAUCUAACACUAAAAUGUAACUAGAUACAUCCGUAUUUAGACAAACUUAAGACAAGAAUUUUGGGACGGAGGGAGUACAAA